rnacentral:lncRNA from 1 species
AUUAGAGAUUUGGUCGCCUUUUCUCGUUUGUAAUUUUUUUACACCUACAUUUAAGAAAAUUGCAAAAUUUGCCGCCCCCUAUAGAUUUGCCGCCAUGGGCCGCGGCCCAUGUGGCCACCCCCUUAAUCCGGCCCUGCUUUUGUAGUGCGAUAAACUGCACAAGCAGCAGCAAGAAGAAGGAGCCUGGAGUUUCAUUUCAUGCCUUUCCACUGAAUGAACCGGAGCGCUGUGCCAAGUGGGUGCAAGCAACUCGGAGAGAGACCAAAGGGCACAAUUUUCCAAGUAAAUAUUCUUACCUGUGCUCGAAGCACUUUCCAGAUACUUGCUUCCGUGAGGCGAAGGGGCGAAAAGUCCUAAAUUGUACUGCUAUACCAUCGAUUUUUAAUUUUGGCAAAGAAGAGCCACAGAAACCAACCAGAAGAAGGUUGUUCCGUGACCUCCAAACGGCUGAGACACCUCCGGUCCCAAAACGGACCAAAGUGAUUCAGAAACCUGGUUUCCUGGAUGCAAUCGGUAUGCUUUUAAUCAAAAUUAUCCGUCAAAUCAUCAGUCGGCGAUCAAUUUUUCCCAGUUGCAUGAGUCCACCAUGAGAAGGUCAGUAUCACCAAGGUUGAACAGUUAAUACAAAGAAUAAAAAAAAUAAAACACUGAAAAUCAUUUUCGUCUUUAAUUCUAGUCAUAUCUGUGAUGUUUCUUCUUAAGACACGCAUUAAUAAGGGCAUUUUUGCAAAUAAUUCUCUCUUAAAACCACGAAUAUCAUACACGGUUUCUUAUGAUAACAAUUCUCCGGGACCCAAGUAAACAUAACCUAACUUCUGUACUCUCGCGUUCCGCUCUUUUCCUAUCUGGCGGCCAUUCUAGGGGUGUAGUUCGUUGAAGCAUGUCCGAGAUAGGAAUGGUACGGGUCUGCUCUUCCUCCACCCUUUUGCUAGGAUAGAUUUUUGAAAGAGAGUCCGGUCUCCGGCUCCCACCCCCUCUGCCGUUUACCCCUCAGCCCUUUAGUUCGCCAUAGCCCCGCCCGC